rnacentral:lncRNA from 1 species
CGCGGUCCCGGGUCCCGAGCUGCGGACAGGGUUCUCGCAACGGCCUCUCCCCCUCCGCCGGCCGCCUCCCCCGCUCCGGCGCGGCCUCCUCUUACACCUGACUCCUGGUCGGCCGCCUCCCGCGUGGGGCUCAAGACCACGUCGAGGGUGGGCACCCGGACUACGAGGCCGGGGAAGUGCGAGGGCGCGCGCGCAGAGCCGCUCCUCCCGGGGGAGGCUGGCGACUCGGGACCGACAGACCGACGUCCCGGACGGGCGGGGAGGGGAGGAGGUGGAGCCGCCGGGAGGGGCGGUGCCGCGGGGAGCAGAGCCCGGCCUCCCGCCCCCUCCGGUGUCUCAGCCCCGGCCGCGACACAAAAAGCCCCCGCUCGCUUCCGAGCGCCCGGCCGCGGCGUCCGAGCCAGGAGCCGAGGGUGGCGGAGCAGGUGGGGGCGCCGCCCGAGGGGCCGGGCCGGGAGCUGGGGCUGCAGGCGCCGCCGCCGCCGCCGCUCUGCCCGCGCCCGCCCCGCAGCCCGCGGCGGGAGGAGUCGGCGGCCCGCGGCGCGCGUCUUGUGGAGCCCGGCGGGCGCGCCGGGACCACCCAGCUAUGGCUGCUGCCUGCACCUACCGGCCCUGUAUCUCGUUGCCCCAGCCCUCGGAGGAAGGUCAGUGAGUUUCGGUUUGUUUUCUCCGCUCUCCCCGCUCCUGGGUCGGAGCGCAGAGCGAGGCGCGAAGGGAUGUUUGCGCCCCGACCCAGGGAAGCGGGAAAGGGCAGCUGCCGCCGGCGGUAUUUGGGGGGCAUCUCUGGGACAGUGGCAGGGCCCCCCCACGGGUCUCGGGGAGCGGAGCUGCGGGGUCAGCGCUGCAGGGCGGCCCCGGGACACCGGGGAGGUGGUGGUCCCCGGAGUUGCGUUUCCCCCGAGCGCUGGCGGAGUUGGGCGUGCAGCUGGGGCUAGGGAGCGGCGCGGUCGCGCGGCUCCACCGAGUCCUCGGAUGCCCCCUGGAGCUCCGGUCCGAGGGAGCCCGCCUCGUGCCCGCGCCGCGCGCGCCUCUGGAGGGGGUGCACGUGCGUGUGCGCGCGCCCCAGAGCUGCGCCCCCCCCACCCCGUCCAGCCACCGAACCCCUCGGAUCGUUGUCUCCCAGCCCCCUCGUGG